rnacentral:lncRNA from 1 species
ACUACAACAAAAACGGUCUAUAGCAAUACUUUUAAAUGUAGGUACAUGUCAAAAAAGUGCUGCUAGCUAAAAUUACCGACACUUUUAAAAAAUGUUGCUAUAUGUGGGAUCGCUAGGUAUAUAGUGACAGUUAAAGAGUGUCGCUAUAACCUAAAAGAGUGCUGCUAAUUUACCAACACUUAUUUAAGCAUUUAGCAACCGCCGAAACUCUAUCUCGUUGGCUGCGGUGGCGGAGAAGGACGACAGUAAAGGCUCUUCGUCUAGAAUUUCAGUGGAUUGAGUGAAGAGAGAAGAAAAGAUGGUAAUUGAUUUUUCUUUUUUUUUCUUUUCUGUUUGUAAUCGGGCCAAAUGGACUGAGUGUGGUGGGUUGAGCAGAGUAAUCUUUUAUUUUUGGUUGGAUUGGGCUUUAUAUUUAGGCAUUAGUAGAUGUGUUUUUAAGUUUUAGUAUAAAUGGGACACUUACUCAAAAGUGUCC